CUCCAGCUUGCUGGGGGGAUUAGUGGCGAACGGGUGAGUAACACGUGAGUAACCUGCCCUUAACUCUGGGAUAAGCCUGGGAAACUGGGUCUAAUACCGGAUAUGACUCCUCAUCGCAUGGUGGGGGGUGGAAAGCUUUAUUGUGGUUUUGGAUGGACUCGCGGCCUAUCAGCUUGUUGGUGAGGUAAUGGCUUACCAAGGCGACGACGGGUAGCCGGCCUGAGAGGGUGACCGGCCACACUGGGACUGAGACACGGCCCAGACUCCUACGGGAGGCAGCAGUGGGGAAUAUUGCACAAUGGGCGCAAGCCUGAUGCAGCGACGCCGCGUGAGGGAUGACGGCCUUCGGGUUGUAAACCUCUUUCAGUAGGGAAGAAGCGAAAGUGACGGUACCUGCAGAAGAAGCGCCGGCUAACUACGUGCCAGCAGCCGCGGUAAUACGUAGGGCGCAAGCGUUAUCCGGAAUUAUUGGGCGUAAAGAGCUCGUAGGCGGUUUGUCGCGUCUGCCGUGAAAGUCCGGGGCUCAACUCCGGAUCUGCGGUGGGUACGGGCAGACUAGAGUGAUGUAGGGGAGACUGGAAUUCCUGGUGUAGCGGUGAAAUGCGCAGAUAUCAGGAGGAACACCGAUGGCGAAGGCAGGUCUCUGGGCAUUAACUGACGCUGAGGAGCGAAAGCAUGGGGAGCGAACAGGAUUAGAUACCCUGGUAGUCCAUGCCGUAAACGUUGGG
rnacentral:rRNA from 1 species